rnacentral:rRNA from 1 species
UCCAGACUCCUACGGGAGGCAGCAGUGGGGAAUAUUGGGCAAUGGGCGCAAGCCUGACCCAGCAAUGCCGCGUGAAGGAAGAAGGCUUUCGGGUUGUAAACUUCUUUGACAGGGGAAGAGCAGAAGACGGUACCCUGAAAACAAGCCACGGCUAACUACGUGCCAGCAGCCGCGGUAAUACGUAGGUGGCAAGCGUUGUCCGGAUUUACUGGGUGUAAAGGGCGUGUAGCCGGGAAGGCAAGUCAGAUGUGAAAUCCCAAGGCUCAACCUUGGAACUGCAUUUGAAACUGUUGGUCUUGAGUAUCGGAGAGGCAGGCGGAAUUCCUAGUGUAGCGGUGAAAUGCGUAGAUAUUAGGAGGAACACCAGUGGCGAAGGCGGCCUGCUGGACGACAACUGACGGUGAGGCGCGAAAGCGUGGGGAGCAAACAGGAUUAGAUACCCGUGUAAA